rnacentral:rRNA from 1 species
AUUGAACGCUGGCGGCAGGCUUAACACAUGCAAGUCGAGCGAGCGGCGGACGGGUCAGUAAUGUCUGGGAAACUGCCUGAUGGAGGGGGAUACUUACUGGAAACGGUAGCUAAUAACGCAUAGCAUCAGAUGUGCCCAGAUGGGAUUAGCUAGUAGGUGGGGUAAUGGCUCACAUAGGCGACGAUCCCUAGCUGGUCUGAGAGGAUGACCAGCCAAACAGGAAUGGAGACACGGUCCAGAAUCCUACGGUAGGCAGCAGUGGGGAAUAUUGCACAAUGGGAGCGAGCCUGAUGCAGCCAUGCCGCGUGUGUGAAGAAGGCCUUUGGGUUGUAAAGCACUUGCAGCGAGGAGGCGUGACUCGCAGAAGAAGCACCGGCUAACUCCGUGCCAGCGGCCGCGGUAAUUC